rnacentral:rRNA from 1 species
AGAGUUUGAUCAUGGCUCAGAAUCAACGCUGGCGGCGUGCCUAACACAUGCAAGUCGAACGAGAAAGUCCGCAAGGAUGAGUAAAGUGGCGACCGGGUGAGUAACACGUGACUAACCUACCUCCAAGUGGGGAAUAACUCCGGGAAACCGGGGCUAAUACCGCAUAACAUCGCAAGAUCAAAGCAGCAAUGCGCUGGGAG